rnacentral:rRNA from 1 species
CCGCAUCUGUGCAUGCAGCAUAUCAAUAAGCGGAGGAAAAGAAACUAACAAGGAUUCCCCUAGUAACGGCGAGUGAAGCGGGAAGAGCUCAAAUUUGAAAUCUUAAAGGGUUUCCCUUUACGAAUUGUAGUUUAAAGAAGUGUUUUCUGUUGAGGUUUUGGUAAAAGUUCUUUGGAAUAGGACAUCAUAGAGGGUGAGAAUCCCGUAUUUGACCUUUACUUUCAACUUUGUGAUACACUUUCAAAGAGUCGGAUUGUUUGGGAAUGCAGUCCAAAAUGGGUGGUAAAUUUCAUCUAAAGCUAAAUAUUGGCGAGAGACCGAUAGCGAACAAGUACCGUGAGGGAAAGAUGAAAAGAACUUUGAAAAGAGAGUUAAACAGUACGUGAAAUUGUCAAAAGGGAAGCGUUUGACACCAGUGUUGUUUUUCUGAAAAUCAAUUAAAGAACUGUUUAUGCUAAGUUGUUUAGACUUUAUCAGCUAUCUGUUUAGUUUUGAGCUUUUCUUUAAUGCACUUUUCAGUUAACAAGUCAACAUCAAUUUCUUUUGCUGUAAAAAAGCUUGAGGAAGGUGGCUUGAGAUUCGUCUUAAGUGUUUAUAGCCUCUUGCCUAUGCAGUCGGAGAGAUUGAGGUCUGCAGCGUAGAUCCUUCGGGGCUAAAUGCAUUUGUGCUAAGUUAUAGCAUUUUAUAGACAACUUGUUGACUAUGAUUUGUCUUGUAGCUUACUCGCUUAUGUUAUUUUACCUACGCUUAGGAUGUUGAAUCUGUGCGAGACUAC